rnacentral:tRNA from 1 species
GCGGGUAUAGCUCAAUGGUAGAGCACUAGCCUUCCAAGCUAGCUAAAAUCACGCAUUUCUCCACA